UACGUAGGGUGCGAGCGUUGUCCGGAAUUAUUGGGCGUAAAGAGCUUGUAGGCGGUUUGUCGCGUCUGCCGUGAAAAUCCGGGGCUCAACCCCGGACUUGCGGUGGGUACGGGCAGACUAGAGUGUGGUAGGGGAGACUGGAAUUCCUGGUGCAGCGGUGAAAUGCGCAGAUAUCAGGAGGAACACCGAUGGCGAAGGCAGGUCUCUGGGCCACUACUGACGCUGAGAAGCGAAAGCGUGGGGAGCGAACAGG
rnacentral:rRNA from 1 species